GGAACCAACUGCAAGGUACAAAAAAAAAAUCUCUAUUUCCACAAAGACCACAGCUUACAUCAUAGCUUGGCUGAUUUCUCUGAUGUCUACGUCUCAGCAACAAUCUGUCUUUUGGCUUCUCAACACAUACUGAUUAUUAAUGAAGGGUAACCACUGUUAGAGACGUCAAAAGAUCACUUGUCCUCGUCAAUUAAUGUACACUGGAGAAAGAGCUACCUUCGGGCUGUGAGAUCAUCGUAUAAUCGUGACCACUCAUUUCCCAUCAUGAGACUGCUGUUCCUUCUGUUUCUCCUUCUUGGAUGUCUAAUACAAACAGCCUCAGGCACCUUGCAGUAGUUUCUGUCUCCAUCCUCCCACCCCAAACUUGCAUUGUAAAUUAUAGAAAGCAAUGGUCAUCUCUAAGCUAACUCCCUCACCAGAGCAGGAAACAGAUGCUCAUAGUUGAGGGAAGACUUGCUCAGGACACCACAGCUGAUGCCAAGAUCUGGACAAGAAAAGUAGCCAAGGAAGACACACAAUAAUCACAACUACCCCAGGACUCCAGCCUCACAACAGAAGCCUCUGACCUGCAACUGGAAUUCCUACCUCUCAACAGACUUCUGCCUACAUCUGAAUGUGGGACUGGCUACUUUGAGUGGUCUCUCUGGAGAGGUGUGCCUUCCACCUGUACAUCCCAACACAGCAAUGUUCCCAGCACUGUGGACCCUCAGUAGGUUCCUCCUACUCAGCACAACACCCACUGCAGGGGGUCCCAAGCCCAGCUCUGUCCUCACAUCUCCUCCCCAAACUGUAGUAAAUUUGUUCAUAUCCACUCUCCCUUCCAUGCAGAUAAAGUGUUGCCAAACCACUGAAAAGAAAAGUCUUAGACUGUGUGAUCUUGGGCAAGUUAUUUAACCUAGCUGAGUUUUGGUUUCUACAUGUGCAAAAUGGAGUUCAUAAACCAAAACGGGUUUAAGGGUUAAAUAUGUUAUGUUAAUAAAAUGCUUUGCAAACGUUAAAACAUAAUACAAGUUUAAUUAUAAUUUUCUCCUACCUAAUGCUUACCCCUUCAUGGGAAACAUCUCUUUCUUUAAUCAGUCCUAAUGACAAUAAUCAGUUAUGUGGACUUGAGUAAUGUUUGCUCUCAUUUGGACUAAAGGAGCCACGCUUCAGAUCCUGCGCCUAUGUUCCUUGCCAGGCUUCUCCAUCAGCUUCUCCUUAUUUUACAGCAAACGGUGAAAGCUCUGCAGGGUCCUCUGAAAGGCUCACAAUUCGGUGUUCCUCGCUUCAGACAGAUCCCACCUCUAAGGUAGCAGGGUCUUUCAAAAUGGAGUGCCUUAGUGAUGCCUGAAAAAUGGAAAGAUGUUUGUAUGAAGCCAAAAGUCUGAGGAGGAAAGCAAGAGAGCUCACCAUGUGGAUGAAAUCUCCACCUUUCCCAGCUAAACAUCAACAUGAAGUGGGUUUGAUUCCAAGCCCUCAGCCUCUCCUCCCUUCACCCUCUCAAUCUCCCAUAAGAUCCCAUUGUUGUUGAUGUAACUACUGACCAAAUCAUCUUUCCUCCCUCGGGAAUAAACAGGUGUUGGUCCAUG